rnacentral:rRNA from 1 species
AGUGUAAGGAUACCAUGGCUUUCACGGGUAACAGGGAAUUAGGGUUCGAUUCUGGAGAAGGAGCCUGAGAACGGCUACUACAUCUAUUCUUAGGCAGCAGGCGCGAAAAAAAACCCAAUCCUGACUCAGGGAGGUGGUGACAAGAUAUAACAACGCAAUUUAAUUGUGAUUGUAGUGAGGGUAUUCCAAACCGAACCACUAGUACGAUUAGAGGGCAAGUCUGGUGCCAGCAGCCGCGGUAAUUCCAGCUCUAAUAGCGUAUAUUAAAGUUGCUGCAGUUAAAAGCUCGUCGUCGUACUUUUAUGGAUUACUCAUUCCUAUGGAAUGUGUACCCUACUAGCCAGUAUUGGCUGUUACUGUGAGAAAAUUAGAGUGUUUAAAGCAGCUCAUGCAGAUACAUUAGCAUGGAAUACGAAUGAGAAGAAAAAAAGAAAAUCUGACUCGAUUAAUAGAGACAGUUGGGGGCAUUAGUAUCUCAUUUGUUUUUCUGUGAAAUUCUGGAUUUGUUAAGACUACGUAUGCGACACCCUCUCGCCACGAUGUUUUCAUUAUCAGACGAAGAUAGGGAUCAAGACAUCAGAUACUGUCGUAGUCCUAUCUAUAACUAUGCGACUAGGGAUUGAUGCCAUUUACCAUUCAGUACCUUAUGAAAAUCAAGUCUUUGGUUCUGGGGGGGUAUGUCCAGACUGACCUUAGACUGACGAGCACCGGAGUGACCUGGCUAUGAUAACGGCACUACAGUCGACAUGAAG